CAUGCAAGUCGAACGAAACUUCUUUAUCACCGAGUGCUUGCACUCACCGAUAAAGAGUUGAGUGGCGAACGGGUGAGUAACACGUGGGCAACCUGCCCAAAAGAGGGGGAUAACACUUGGAAACAGGUGCUAAUACCGCAUAACCACAGUUACCGCAUGGUAACUGUGUAAAAGGUGGCUAUGCUACCGCUUUUGGAUGGGCCCGCGGCGCAUUAGCUAGUUGGUGGGGUAAAGGCUUACCAAGGCAAUGAUGCGUAGCCGAACUGAGAGGUUGAUCGGCCACAUUGGGACUGAGACACGGCCCAAACUCCUACGGGAGGCAGCAGUAGGGAAUCUUCCACAAUGGGCGAAAGCCUGAUGGAGCAACGCCGCGUGGGUGAAGAAGGUCUUCGGAUCGUAAAACCCUGUUGUUAGAGAAGAAAGUGCGUGAGAGUAACUGUUCACGUUUCGACGGUAUCUAACCAAAAAGCCACGGCUAACUACGUGCCAGCAGCCGCGGUAAUACGUAGGUGGCAAGCGUUAUCCGGAUUUAUUGGGCGUAAAGGGAACGCAGGCGGUCUUUUAAGUCUGAUGUGAAAGCCUUCGGCUUAACCGGA
rnacentral:rRNA from 1 species